rnacentral:rRNA from 1 species
UAAUACGUAGGGAGCAAGCGUUAUCCGGAAUUAUUGGGUGUAAAGGGUGCGUAGACGGGAAUACAAGUUAGUUGUGAAAGCCCUUGGCUUAACUGAGGAAUUGCAACUAAAACUAUGUUUCUUGAGUGCGGGAGAGGAAAGCGGAAUUCCUAGUGUAGCGGUGAAAUGCGUAGAUAUUAGGAGGAACACCAGUGGCGAAGGCGGCUUUCUGGACCGUAACUGACGUUGAAGCACGAAAGUGUGGGGAGCAAACAGG